AGAACGAACGCUGGCGGCAUGCCUAAUACAUGCAAGUCGAACGAAGGCUUCGGCCUUAGUGGCGCACGGGUGCGUAACGCGUGGGAAUCUGCCCCUUGGUUCGGAAUAACAGUUGGAAACGACUGCUAAUACCGGAUGAUGACGAAAGUCCAAAGAUUUAUCGCCAAGGGAUGAGCCCGCGUAGGAUUAGCUAGUUGGUGAGGUAAGGCUCACCAAGGCGACGAUCC
rnacentral:rRNA from 1 species